rnacentral:rRNA from 1 species
GAGAGAGAGCUUGCUUUCUCGAGCGAGUGGCGAACGGGUGAGUAACGCGUGAGGAACCUGCCUCAAAGAGGGGGACAACAGUUGGAAACGACUGCUAAUACCGCAUAAGCCCACGGCUCGGCAUCGAGCAGGGGGAAAAGGAGCAAUCCGCUUUGAGAUGGCCUCGCGUCCGAUUAGCUAGUUGGUGAGGUAAUGGUCCACCAAAGCGACGAUCGGUAGCCGGACUGAGAGGUUGAACGGCCACAUUGGGACUGAGACACGGCCCAGACUCCUACGGGAGGCAGCAGUGGGGAAUAUUGCACAAUGGGGGAAACCCUGAUGCAGCGACGCCGCGUGGAGGAAGAAGGUCUUCGGAUUGUAAACUCCCGUUGUUGGGGAAGAUAAUGACGGUACCCAACAAGGAAGUGACGGCUAACUACGUGCCAGCAGCCGCGGUAAAACGUAGGUCACAAGCGUUGUCCGGAAUUACUGGGUGUAAAGGGAGCGCAGGCGGGAAGACAAGUUGGAAGUGAAAUCUAUGGGCUCAACCCAUAAACUGCUUUCAAAACUGUUUUUCUUGAGUAGUGCAGAGGUAGGCGGAAUUCCCGGUGUAGCGGUGGAAUGCGUAGAUAUCGGGAGGAACACCAGUGGCGAAGGCGGCCUACUGGGCACCAACUGACGCUGAGGCUCGAAAGUGUGGGUAGCAAACAGGAU